UAACCGUUGGUGAACCAGCGGAGGGAUCAUUACUGGAAUCGCAAGAUCCCACAACCCUGUGAACCUACCGAAACGUUGCCUCGGCGGGUGCCCGGCCUCUGCGCCGGGCGCUGCGCCCGCCGGCGGCCCCCUACUCUGUCUCUGCAGCGUGGCAUCUCAGAGUCCCAGAAAACAAGUCAAAACUUUCAACAACGGAUCUCUUGGCUCUA
rnacentral:misc_RNA from 1 species